CGAGGUCUGGCUAUGUAGCCUCGGUUGACCCACAAUUCCUGAUACUCCCGUUCAGAAUCCUGGGUACUGGGGUGACAGAGAUAGACAGCAAUCAUGAUUAUGUGGCACAAAGAGACUACACCUGGAACCAACUUCAAAUGUGGCAACACUUACACCUUGGCAGAAAACUGCCCCACACUUCACCUGAUGCCAGGCCCUUCUCAAACUGUGAACAAACAACACUGGAGGGUCGACUACCCCUCUCUGCCUUGUCAAGGGCUGGAGGAAUGACUCAGCAGCUAAGAGCACUGGCUAUUGGUUCAGAGGAUCCGGAUUCGAUCCUCUGGUGCACAUGAUUCACAGCUGUUGGUAAUUCCAAUCCCAGGUGACUCCUCUACCCUGUUCUGGCCUCUGAGGUCAC